CGAGUCUUAAAGCUGUUUUACUGCCUAAUGGCAAUGUUUUGCCAUCAAUUCCAGUUGGUCAUGUAGUCCAUAUGAAGGAAACCUAUGACAACAUGAAACAACUUUUGAGGUACAUAAACUAUGACCAACAUCAGUGGCAGCUUUGUGGUGAUCUGAAGGUUGUUGCUCUCUUGCUUGGUCUGCAGACUGGAUACACAAAGUACUGCUGUUUUCUCUGUGAAUGGGAUAGUCGUGCAAGAGAUUCCCACUACAUCAAGAAAGAUUGGCCACUCCGACAGUCAUUGGAGCCUGGGAGGAAAAGUGUUCACCAUCCACCAUUUGUUGAAUCAAGGAAGAUUUUGUUACCACCCUUACACAUCAAGCUGGGUCUGAUGAAGAACUUUGUCAAGGCCAUUGACAAAACACAAGCAGCUUUCAAGUACCUCCGUGGAAAAUUUCCAAGGUUAAGUGAAGCUAAGAUAAAGGAAGGUGUCUUUGUUGGUCCUCAGAUUCGUGAACUUCGAGAUGAUGCAUUUGACCAUGCACUGCGUGGCAAGGAAAAGAUGGCAUGGAAAGCCUUCCAGUUAGUGGCAAUAAAUUCUCUCAGAAACAACAAGGCAGACAACUACAGGUUGUUGGUGGAAAAUCUCCUCAAGGCAUACAAAAGCCUUGGUUGCAACAUGUCACUAAAGAUACAUUUUUUGCACUCUCAUCUAGAUUUUUUUCCACCAAACUGCGGAGCAGUGAGCGAUGAGCACGGCGAGCGAUUUCACCAGGACAUUGCAACAAUGGAGAAACGCUAUCAGGGCAAAUGGAGCCCAUCAAUGCUUGCAGACUAUUGCUGGACAGUGACAAGAGAUGCUCCAUUUAAUGAAUACAAGAGACAAGCCAAGAAGCGCUGAGUAGACACUGAAUAGGACUAAACUAUGUACAGAAUAGUUUUUUGCCUUUUGUUUCAUAAUACAUUUUAUUUAUAUAACCCUUUUGCUGAUUUUUAAAGUGUUACAUAAACAGGACAGGUGAAAUAUUAUCAUGUAAAGCAACCAUAAACACAUGAAAAGACCUAGGUUUACAAUUUAUGAUUAA
rnacentral:lncRNA from 1 species